GUAUUGGUUUGGCUCCAUUGUCUUCAAUGGAGUUAAUCCUCACCCUGAUUUGAGCACGAGAAGAAGAGAAGACGACCAUCCAUCCCUGAAUGUAUGGCUGGGGAGGUCUGCUUAUACAGAGCUUGCAUUUUGUGCAGACCGUAGCCCUGCACAGGGGAAAGCACCGAAUGAGAGACCAGAUUCUGCCAUGGAAAUUAAACCAUGCAGCAUGUUUCUUCCACUGAACAUCUCUCGCUUUCAGUAAUGAGCUGGGUUAAUGGAUAGUGAAGAUGGUGGUGGUGGGGAGAACGGAUGGUGGGAAACAAAGCACAGCCAAACCUCGGGCUUUUUGCAAGUUAUAAAUACUGUACAAAAUUCUACUCCUGAUACUGGAAAAUGCUUUCUCCCGUUGUUCAAAGUGACUCCAGAUGCUGAUGUACUUAGUGCACAGUGCAAGUAACCCGACUGGAAUGAAAAAGCAAGGAAUUCUUCUACUGCCUUUAUGCCCAAGGGAUAGAUGGAGAAGAUAACUGUACACAAACCGCUCCAGCUGUGAAGCUAAUACUGAAAAGAUAUUCUACUUCUAUUUAUAGGGAUACUCUGUUCUACAAAUUGCUCGUAACAAUCUCUGAAAUUGAGAAUUAAAAAAAAAACCCACAGGAAAAUAUAUUUCCAUUUAUCCUAAGUGUCCCUUUUUAUAAUUUAUUAAGGUCACAGUUUUGGCCUAUAUGAGAGACAAUAGCUUAUCUAUAGCAAAAUGACAUGCAGAGAGUUGUCAUUUGGUGGGAUUUGCAUCGUAUAGAUUAGUAUUAUUUAAGCAUUUAAGAAAACAGAUUUGAAUUGGCUGUGGAAAUUAUCUUAACCGUACAUGCAAUGGCCAGGGACAGGAGAGAACAUCCGGACCAAAUAACUCCUACUUAUGCUUGACAUCGUACCUUCAUUCCAAAGUUGACAAAAUAAAUGCCUGCAAUGACAGCUUGUGUCACUGAAUAAAUGGCAAGAAUCUGUGUUUCUCUACCCAUAUUGCAGGGGACUGUCCUCCUCUAGCUUUUUUCUCCCUAAAAAACAAGCUAGGACAUCCAAUUCCCUGUGCCCUCGUCAUUAAACUGAGCCAUUUAAGCUACAGCGUCAGUUCUUGAUACAUUAGAAAAUGGCAGAUUUAAGACUCCCUGGGUAAUCUUUUUUUGUCCCUCCGCAUGUGCAUAUGUUUUUUUACAAACCCGUCCAUGACACAGUCGUAUUUUAGACUUUCCCACAGGAUGCAUGCCUCAUUCUGUACAACACAGGAUAAUCACACCCAGUGGUAGAAAUAAAUUAGCAUAGCAAUCUUAAUCUGGUAUUUCCUAAUUCUCCUAAUUUCCUUAUCCUUCAGUGUUCGUCUGCACUACUCUAAACAAUACUCUCUUAAUGUAAUUUUUUCAUGUUAUCAUUUAAAUAUAAGUAGGCACAUUUGUGUAUCUCUCCAUCUAUCUGGAUCUGUUAAUGUAUUGGUAAACGCAAAAGGAAAAGAUAAAA